UAGGAUCCAAUUAGCUUGAGAAAAACGUUCACUCUUGCUUAUGUGAAGCUUGGGUAAGGUUGUGAAUAAAUAAUUGGAGCUUGAAAUUGUGAAUAUUGGAACUUGGAGGAAGCUGAUUAGUUGAGUUUUGAGGGGCUGCCUUGGUUUUGAAUAAAUAGCUUUGGUCGUUACGUGAAAAUCGGCCAAGAUGCAGGUCGAGAGGCAUCUCAUUAGGCGUCUGGACUCUUGAAGCGGAGUGGUUACUGGGUUAUUUUGUUAUGCUAUGAUGUAUAUAUAUGUACUUAGCUUUCUCU